GUGACUUAAAUCCGGACGGCGGUUGAUUUCAAGAAAAUACAGGGACUUUUAUGUAAAAUACGGAAAAAAUGAUUUGUUUUAAAACAGGAUUGCGGGUUAAAUUCUCUGAAAUAGAGAUACUUUUUUGAAAAAUGCCAUGACGGACGACCAGAAACCCAAUUUGCUUUAUUAUUAGGUAAAGAUAAAGAUAAAGAGGUAAAGAUUUCAUUAAUUAUUUAUAUAUACUCAUCGUAUUGUUGUAUUGCUGUUGUUAGAAAUUGUCGUAUCCCAUAUCGUCGUACUCGUAUCGCUGUAUCAGUGCUUCAUAGUUGUGGACACACCGGCACGUCUCGAGGUCCUAGACCCUGAUGCUGUCAUUCACCACGCCCCUUGCAUUAGCGAUGUCUCGAGAGCGCGGCUUCGACUCGAGGCCACCCCCAGCAAGCUACACAGUUGCGUGGAGCCACCUCAAUCUCCUCCUCAUUAGCACCUCGCAGCAAGAAGACGUCGGCUCCCGAAGACCAACUCUCUUCCUCGAUCCUCGAGUUCUGUGUGGAUUGUUCGACAUAUUUUCUAGGCAUCGUCCAUCAAUGAUGUUGGGUUGCUUGUUCGUUGUCGAGUUCCAAUCUCAGCAUCGCUACGCGGCGGAUCAGUGUGACGAUUGGCAUGUUGAGGCAGAACCAACUUUGCUAAAAAAA
rnacentral:lncRNA from 1 species